CUGCUUUGAUAUAACUGUGUGGAGAUUAUGUUACGAAAUAGGACAUAGUUGGUCUCCCUGUGGUUCAGACUCUGAUUUUCAUUGUAUUACUUGAACCACUUGGUCAUUAUUGAGUUGAGCGUUAAAUACAAAGUGAAGGUUUCUUUGUUAAAAAUUUUAAUUUAUUUUCGUAUGUGCUUGCGUUUUUUGCUUUUAACUUAUUACACCUUAGUUUUUUUGUGCUACACACAAACUUAUUGAAAUUUUAAUCUAAUUGAUUGUGAUGAUGUGAUGGUGGUAAUGAUGGUUAUGUGAUGAUGGUGACGGUGACGGUGAUGAUGGUAGGUUGAUGGUUGAUGAUGAUGUCAGUAAUGAUAAAGUCGAUAAGGUGACGUCAAUGAUGGUGGUGAUGAUUGUAAUCGUUGUCGUGAUGGUGGUGAUGGUGAUGUCAGAAAUUAGCCAUUCCGAAGUUGAUGAGUGGACUGGGGACGAGUGUUAAAAAGUGCCCAAAUUAAGAAAUGAACUAAAUCACUAAAAAGACCACCUCAAAAUUAGUAAGUAUACAAAGUUUGAAGACGUUUACAUGAAUACCCUUCGAAUUAUUAGCUUUCGAAAAUUAUGAAAUUACUGAUUAAAAGAUUUUCUUUUUAGUAACGACCAGAAGGCUUUUUUUUAUAACAAAUUUAAUAAAUUGUAACAACGUUUCGGAGUUUACUCCAUCAUCAGGUUACAUUUAUACGCACUAAAAAAACCCCGUUAAAGCAUGUUAUUAGCUCUUGUGUAUGCGCUUGCGUAAACAUAUAAAAAAAUUGUUCUAAAGAUAAUUGUUAUAAAAAAAGCCUUCUGGUCGUUACGAAAAAGAAAAUUAUUACAUUUAAAUGAGGCAAAGAGAAAGUUCGCUUCUAAUCACAUUGAAGAUUAAAAGAUUGUUUUUGGGACGCGCGUCCCCAAAAACAAAAAUUGCAAUACAUUUCAUAGUACUAAUAUCGGAUUUUCGAAAGCUUAUUACUCGAAGGAUAUUCAUGUAAACGUCUUCAAACUUUGUAUACUUACUAAUUUUGAGGUGGUCUUUUUAGUUAAUUUGGGCACUUUUUAACACUCGUCCCCAGUCCUCUCAUCAACUUCGGAAUGGCUAAUGAUAAAGGUGAUGUCAAUGAUGGUGGUGAUGUCAGCAACAUUUCAGUAAUGUAAGGGUGAUAUGUCAAUGAUGAUGGUGAUGUCAGUAAUGUAAGGGUGAUAUGUCAAUGAUGGUGGUGAUGUCAGUAAUGUAAGGGUGAUAUGUCAAUGAUGAUGGUGAUGAUGGUAGUGGUGACGAUGAUUCAUAUGGUGCCCAUGAUGGUGACAAUCCAACCACAAAUACUGCACAAUGUCGAUACCACAGUUCCUUACAGUGCAGUUUCUUUAUACAGUCAACUCUCGUUAUAACGGACACUCUGGGGACCGUCAGUUGGUGUCCGUAAUAGCGAGGGUUAUUUCAAUACAUAUCUCAAACUCAUUGAUAAUUCAUGAGUAAAUUAGCCAACCAUAUUGCUUUAUUUUGCUCACAUGAUAAUACUGGAUACCUGGACUGGAUCAAAAUUAAUUCACCUCACUUUAAGUAGUAAUUUAUUCGUGUGA